rnacentral:rRNA from 1 species
CUUAGCCGGCGACCGGCGGACGGGUGCGUAACGCGUAUGUAACCUACCUUUGACAGGGGGAUAACAUCGAGAAAUUGGUACUAAUACCCCAUAACAUCACCGGAGGCAUCUUCGGUGGUUGAAAACUCAGGUGGUCAGAGAUGGACAUGCGUUGUAUUAGCUAGUUGGUGAGGUAACGGCUCACCAAGGCGACGAUACAUAGGGGGACUGAGAGGUCAACCCCCCACAUUGGUACUGAGACACGGACCAAACUCCUACGGAAGGCAGCAG